rnacentral:rRNA from 1 species
UCUGGUUGAUCCUGCCAGUAGCAUAUGCCUGACUUGGAGACUAAGCCAUGCAUGUCUAAGUAUAAGUAGUAUAUUGCGAAACUGCGAAUGGCUCAUUAAAACAGUUAUAAUUUAUUUGGUGAUAACCUUACAUGGAUAACCGUGGGAAACUGGGGCUAAUACAUGCAAAAAAGCCGAAAGGCCGUAUUUAUUAGUUUAAAUCUCAAGUUUAUGAGGAAUCAUAAUAACUCAUCGAAGCGCAUCACUGCGCUACACCAUUCAAGUUUCUGCCCUAUCAGCUUUCGAUGGUAGUGUAUUGGACUACCAUGGCAAUAACGGGUAACGGAGAAUUGGGGUUCGAUUCCGGAGAAGGAGCCUGAGAAACGGCUACUAUUUCUAAGGAAGGCAGCAGGCGCGUAAAUUACCCAAUCCUGACUAAGGGAGGUAGUUAAUGGAAAUAACACGAUCGGCUCUAUGAGCUCUGAUCAUGUAAUGAGUUGAACUUAGAAAACUCUUUGAAUCCUAUUAGAGGGCAAGUCUGGUGCCAGCAGCCGCGGUAAUUCCAGCUCUAAUAGCGUAUAUUAACGCUGUUGCAGUUAAAAAGCUCGUAGUUGAAAUUCCGGCGACUCGUCGCCUGUCUGGGAGAUCCAGAGAUAACGAAAGUUUUCGCUGGCUUGAACAGACUUUUACUGUGAACAAAAUAGAGUGCUUAAAGCAGGCAAUAGCUUGAAUAUCUUAGCAUGGAAUAAUAAAAAAUGACUUUAUUCAUUUUUUUGGUUAUUGGAUGAAGUAAUGGUUAACAGGAACAGUUGGGGGCAUUUGUACUUAAUAGUCAGAGGUGAAAUUCAUAGAUUUAUUAAAGACAAACUAAUGCGAAAGCAUUUGCCAAGGAUGUUUUCAUUAAUCAAGAACGAAAGUUAGGGUAUCGAAGACGAUCAGAUACCGUCGUAGUCCUAACCAUAAACUAUACCGACUAGGGAUUGGCAGGGAACACCCCUGUCAGCACCUAAUGAGAAAUCAAAGUCUUUGGGUUCUGGGGGGAGUAUGGUCGCAAGGCUGAAACUUAAAGGAAUUGACGGAAGGGCACUACCAGGAGUGGAUUCUGCGGCUUAAUUUGAUUCAACACGGGAAAACUUACCAAGGCAACAUAUCGAGAGGAUUGACAGAUUGAUAGCUUUUUCUUGAUCCGAUACUUAGUGGUGCAUGGCCGUUCUUAGUUGGUGGAGUGAUUUGUCAGGUUAAUUCCCUUAACGAACGAGAUCUCAACCUGCUAAAUAGGAGGCUCUAAACUCUAGAGCUAUCCUUCUUAGAGGGACUACUGAUGCAAAUCAGUGGAAGUUUGAGGCAAUAACAGGUCCGUGAUGCCCUUAGAUGUCUUGGGCCGCACGCGUAAUACAAUGAUACAUGCAGUAAGUCAACCUAGUCCGAAAGGAGUUGGGUAAUCUUUUCAAAGUGUAUCUUGCUUGGGAUAGACCUUUGCAAUUAUAGGUCUUGAACGAGGAAUUCCUAGUAAGCAUGGGUCAUCAACCCAUGUUGAUUACGUCCCUGCCCUUUGUACACACCGCCCGCCGCUUCUACCGAUUCGAGUGGUUCGACGAAUUCUCCAGACCGGCCUGGCCGGGAAGUUGUGUAAGUCAUAUCACUUAGAGGAAGAAUAAGGCGUAACAAGGUA